CAGAUAUUUCAAAUCCUACACUGGCCCUUGGUAUUUACCAAAUCCCCAUCCCGACUCCUCUCUCUCAUUUCUUAGUCCCCUCGAUCCCGACUCUCUAAGUUCUAUCUCAACGCAACACAGCUAACCUCUACCUCUAUCUCUCCUCUCUCUCCCCUUCCCAUCUCUCGUCGAAACCCGAUCUAGGGUUUAGAUCUCCCCCUUUCUCCUCUCUCUUCGUUCCAUCGAAACCCUAGAUCUGAUCUCUCCCCCUCGUCGUGUGCUCCCUCUUCCUCGUCGCUGCGUUCGCUUUGUAGUCCGAUCACAAGGUACGCUGAGCUUUAACCCUAAUUUGCUUGAUCCGAUGCUGGGAUCUUGAUUUCGAGCUUUAAAUUUGUUUGGAUUGAGCAGUUGUUUCAUUAGAUCCGGGAUUGAAUAUGGAAUAAUUCCUCUUUUUUGGUUAAAAUUUGAGCUGUUAGGGUUAUGCAGUGUUAGAUUUGUUAAAUUUGACCAGUCUUUUUGUUGUAUUAGUGGAGAAUUAUGUCAAAGUUUUCAUUUUUAAGAAGCAUCACUAUUAAAUCAUGCACCUUUACUGGCAUUUUCAUUUCUAAGACUAUGGGCAAUAAGAAAUUUCAAGAAAAAUGUUUGAACUUGGUCGUUGUCUCGUUGAUGCUUCAUGGUCGAUGUGUUGUAAGGUAAAAGGGAGAUAGUCAAGAGGGCUUGAUCAUUCUAGUGAGUAGUCUGAUUUCUAUACGCAUCCACCUUAAAAGAAUGAUAUUGCAUCCAACACACCUUAAGACAAAGACCCAUCCAUCCAAAUAGUAGACAAGUUUAAAGUUAUAGACCUUAUAGUUAUCUACAUUCUCGAAGAAGGCAUUGCUCUUACAAUAAUAGUGUCUGAGAUCAUUACUCCAAAUUAACAAUUAGUUCGAAUCCUAAGGUCUUACAGUUUUCAGAGUUUAUGAGGGCGCACGCUGUUGCCAUUAGGCAUUGGAAAUAUUUGCAAAUAGAAUUGAAGGAUGGAAGAGAUAUGGCAGUCCAAUGAUGGGUUUUAUUAGCUAAUGCAAAAACAAUGAUCAUGAGAGGAUCCUCAAUGACCAUUUCAAGCAUUUGUUAGUGUUGAACUCCGCCAUGUUUUUAAGGUAGAUUUUAGGUUUUAUCAGACUGGACAUCUCCAUUUCAAUGACCAAAUAAUGUUGAUAGCAAUAUUGUAUCAUGCAUCUUUUCUAGUGCAUUUUGACAAUAGAGCUUUGUAAUUAGUUUUGCAAGUAUCUGAACUAAAUGUGACUCGAUAAUGUACACUCUAUUGACAAAUUUAAUUUGUAGUCUAAAUAUGGGGCUCAAAGUGGCCCAAAUGUAUGCAUUUACUCCAAACUGACAAUGAGUUAGUAUAUAAACUGACAAUGUUUAGAUAAUACUCAAUUUGGCUUGGUAGAAUUCUUCAUGAUUUGUUAUUACAAGUUACUUUAUUUAUUGUUGAGUAUGAUAUAUCAGUGCAGUCAUGAGCAAUAAUUUUUCUAAGGGUUUGCAAUAUAAGGAAAAAAAGGCAUAAGGUGGUAAACUGCAUUUAUUGCUUGUAUAGCAUUUACUAUUUAGUUUUUCUUUCUACGACAUUAAUUUGAGAAAGCACUUGUAAUGUGUGUAAGAGCAAUGUUAAAUGUAGCCAUCGUCAACUCAGGGCUAUUGUCAACGUUAGCACAAUAAAAGCCUCAAUAACAAACAAAUCCUCCAUUGAUAGUCUAAACAAUAGUCAGCAUUAGCUAUAUUUUUUUGAACACAAUCACUUUGUUUGUAUUUUGGUCAAGUAAAUUGCAUGCUUCUGACAAUGUUGUUCAAUGUUGUUCGUGAAUAUGUAUGCUAGCAAAUCUUGAAGGCUUGGUGUAGAAAGGAUCCUUGUUGAGAGAACGUAGCUCUAGUUCUUCUGUGACUUAAAUUUGCACGUCCAUGGUUUUUGUCAUCAGUGAGUGGAUUUUCCAAGAAAAGUGGAAUAUAAUCAUGACAUUUAACUAACAGGUUUUGGAACUAGGCAUUGUGGUUCACUCAGUGAUCAUUGGCAUCUCCUUGGGCAUCUCACAGAGCUCCUCAACAGUAAAACCCUUGUUAGGUGCAUUGAGCUUCCACCAAUUCUUUGACUAGAGGAAGGAAGGAUUAUCUCGUCGGAUUUUGCCCUGCAGGGGAAAAUGAAAGGAUCUGUAAUUACUGGACCAAUUGGAAAGGAGUGUGCUGAUUUGUGGCCUAGGAUUGCUAGUGCAGCCAAUGCCAUUGUGUAAUAUCUAGAUUUUUCUUCAGGUGUCAGUGAGGAGUAGUAGUUUCAUGUUAUUUAUUAUUGAAAAAAGGGAGUUUUUUUUAAAUAUGGGUCCAUAUUUGUAUUGGUGGUUUUUGUUUUCCCGUGACAUACAUAUAUUGGAAUUGAUAUUCUGGGAUCCAGCUGAUGGUAA